rnacentral:lncRNA from 1 species
AAAUGAUCCAUAUUGACAUGAGAAUUACUAUGAAGGAGGUACAACAGAACACCAUAUGUGGUCAUUCUUCAAAACAGGGAAGUGAACCUUUGACUUGAAUUAUUAGAAACAUCUUUGCCCGAGGCCAGCAGCAUAGAAGAGGUGACCUCUGCAGGUCCCUGUGAGAGCUCUGACUUCUAAUAACAGUAUGCUAAAAACAGGGGAGAUUCAUCAUACAACUGCUCAAACAUAUUGAAUGUCAGGUGACUGAAAAAGGACAGAAGCUUGAAGGUUUGCAACUGAUCAACCUAUCUGCCCUAGCCAUGCUCUUUAACAAGUCAAAGCAAGUGGAAUUUCUUCUCUUUCUUUUAAUAUUCAGAAUGAAUAUACAGAAGUUUUAUUUACUUUUGCUCCAAAGAACCCAUGUAGUAAGAGUGAUCAGAGCUAUAUCCACCCCAUUACUGCAGAGGACUGGAAGCUACACCAGGCCUUGGCCCCUGACUUGGGGUUCCAAUGAUGAAGUCAGGUACCGCUGACAUACUGAUCUAUAUGAAGUCCAUUAUAGCCCAGACCUUGAUGUCCUCCUGCUAUCUACCUUAACCGCAGUGGUACCCCAUAAGUGCCCUUCUCACAGUGGCCGCUCUGAGAGACUAGCAGAAACUCAUUGUCUUUCUCUCCAGGACCCUGCAUGGUGCCUGGCAAUGAACAUUUCUUGAACAGGUGAAUAUGUGGUUUUUCUUUUGUUGUUCCUUAGAUAUUUAAUCAGAGGAGCCAGGAAGGCAUUUUGGGAGAGGAGAUGGUACUGAUUGUAAGGGUCCUAUGGCAACACAGCCCUACAGAUGAGAUGAGUGGUCCACAAGCCUAGGUACUCUUAAGACAGUUUUCUGUUGUCCACUUUCUAUUCUUUUACGAUAUAGGAUUAGACAGGAAAAAGAAGGAAGGCUGGGAAACCUUGGGAGAAGUACAAGAG